GAUGAACGCUGGCGGCGUGCCUAAUACAUGCAAGUCGAGCGAACGGACGAUAAUCUUGCUUUUCUGAUGUUAGCGGCGGACGGGUGAGUAACACGUGGAUAACCUACCUAUAAGACGGGGAUAACUUCGGGAAACCGGAGCUAAUACCGUAUAAUAUUUUGAACCGCAUGGUUCAAAAGUGAAAGACGGUCUUGGUGUCAGUUAUAGAUGGUUCCGCGCUGGAUUAGCGAGUUGGUAAGGUAAAGGCUUACCAAGGCGACGAUGCGUAGCCGACCUGUGAGGCGGAUAGGCCACACUGGAACGGAGCCAGGGACCAGGCUCCUACGGGAGGGCGCAGUAGGCAACGGUACGCAGUAGGCGAGAGCAUGACGGAGCGGCGGCGCGUGAGUGAUGAAGGUCUUCGGAUCGUAAUACUCUGUUAUUGGGGAAGAACAUAUGUGUACGUAACUGUGCACAUCUUGACGGUAACUGAUCAGAAAGCACCGGCUAACUACGUG
rnacentral:rRNA from 1 species